GACGAAGGACCCGAGCGUUAUCCGGAUUCAUUGGGUUUAAAGGGUGCGUAGGUGGAUUGGUAAGUCAGUGGUGAAAGCCCCAGGCUCAACUUGGGAACUGCCAUUGAUACUGCUGAUCUUGAGUGCAUAUGAUGUGGGCGGAAUAUGACAUGUAGUGGUGAAAUACUUAGAUAUGUCAUAGAACACCGAUUGCGAAGGCAGCUCACAAAACUGCAACUGACACUGAGGCACGAAAGCGUGGGGAUCAAACAGG
rnacentral:rRNA from 1 species